GUAUUCAGUCUGAAACAGGACAAAGGACAGUCAUGAAGGCUCCAGUUCAACUCCUAGGGCUGCUGUUGCUCUGGUUCCCAGGCAUGAGAUGUGAUAUACAGAUGACUCAGUCUCCAUCCACCCUGUCUGCAUCUGUGGGAGCCAGAGUUGCCAUGAACUGCAGGGCAAGUCAGGGUGUUAGCAAUUACUUACACUGGUACCAGCAAAAACAAGGAGAAGCUCCCACACUCCUGAUAUAUAAUGCAAAGAGUUUGCAAUCGGGCAUCCCAUCAAGGUUCAGUGGAAGUGGAUCUGGCACUGAUUUCACACUCACCAUCAACGGUCUGCAGUCUGAAGAUGUUGCCACGUAUUUUUGCCAGCAGGGUUACAGUGGAUACCACUGUGAUAUAAGUCAUAACAUAAACCACCCAGAGAUGCAAAAGUGA